rnacentral:tRNA from 1 species
UGUCCUAUGGGUUGGUUGGUAGAGCAUUGUGCUAACAACACAAAGGUUGUGGGUACAAUCCCUUCGGACUA